rnacentral:rRNA from 1 species
AAACUUUCAACAACGGAUCUCUUGGUUCUGGCAUCGAUGAAGAACGCGGCGAAAUGCGAUAAGUAGUGUGAAUUGCAGAAUUCAGUGAAUCAUCGAAUCUUUGAACGCACAUUGCGCCCCUUGGUAUCCCGAGGGGCAUGCCUGUUCGAGCGUCAUUU